rnacentral:sRNA from 1 species
UGCGGAAGGAUCAUUAACGAACAAAAGGUUCAUUCUUGAAUCUUUUGGGAUCAACCAAAAACCAGUAACAUUUUGAUAUUAAAUAUGUCAAUAAAUCUUUUUAUAAUAUUACAAAACUUUCAACAACGGAUCUCUUGGCUCUUGCAUCGAUGAAGAACGCAGCGAAUUGCGAUAAGUAGUGUGAAUUGCAGAAUUCCGUGAAUCAUCGAAUCUUUGAACGCAUAUUGCACUCUUUGGUAUUCCGAAGAGUAUGCCUGUUUGAGGGUCAUUUGAAAAUUAAUCUAGACUUUUUUUGUCUUGGAAUAAUGAGUUUUCCAUUAUGAAUAUUGGUGAUGGUUGCUCGAAAUUGAUGCUAUGUCUUGGCUUGAAACAGACGCGUUUAUUUUAAUCUUCGCUACUAUUCAAGUCUUGUGUUCUAGCUUGUUUAAUUACCUCCUUUUAAAAGAGGAUGAAAUCGAACAAAUAAACCUUAUAAUCGUGACCUCAAAUCAGGUAAGAGUACCCGCUGAACUUAAGCAUAUCAAUAAGCGGAGGAAAAGAAACUAACCAGGAUUCCCCUAGUAACGGCGAGUGAAGCGGGAACAGCCCAAAUUUUAAAUCGAUCAAAAGGUCGAGUUGUAAUUUGAAGAAUUGCUUUCCACGUCUUUAUCCGAUGAAAAGUCCCUUGGAAUAGGGCAUCACAGAGGGUGAUAAUCCCGUAUUUUAUCGUGAUUUUGACGUCGUGUGUAGUAAUUUCAAAGAGUCGAGUUGUUUGGGAUUGCAGCUCAAAACGGGUGGUAAAUUCCAUCUAAGGCUAAAUAACGGCAAGAGACCGAUAGCGAACAAG